CCUACGGGAGGCAGCAGUGAGGAAUAUUGGACAAUGGGCGAGAGCCUGAUCCAGCCAUGCCGCGUGCAGGAAGACUGCCCUAUGGGUUGUAAACUGCUUUUAUACAGGAAGAAUAAGCCUUACGUGUAAGGUGAUGACGGUACUGUAAGAAUAAGGACCGGCUAACUCCGUGCCAGCAGCCGCGGUAAUACGGAGGGUCCGAGCGUUAUCCGGAAUUAUUGGGUUUAAAGGGUCCGUAGGCGGAUGAUUAAGUCAGGGGUGAAAGUUUGCAGCUCAACUGUAAAAUUGCCUUUGAUACUGGUUAUCUUGAGUUGUAUUGAAGUAGGCGGAAUAUGUAGUGUAGCGGUGAAAUGCAUAGAUAUUACAUAGAACACCAAUUGCGAAGGCAGCUUACUAAGUACUAACUGACGCUGAUGGACGAAAGCGUGGGUAGCGAACAGGAUUAGAUACCCUGGUAGUCCACGCCGUAAACGAUGGAUACUAGCUGUUCGGGGCCUUGAGCUCUGAGCGGCUAAGCGAAAGUGAUAAGUAUCCCACCUGGGGAGUACGUUCGCAAGAAUGAAACUCAAAGGAAUUGACGGA
rnacentral:rRNA from 1 species